rnacentral:rRNA from 1 species
UACGGGGGGGGCAAGCGUUGUCCGGAAUUACUGGGCGUAAAGGGCUCGUAGGCGGCUAACUAAGUCAGACGUGAAAUCCCUCGGCUUAACCGGGGAACUGCGUCUGAUACUGGAUGGCUUGAGUUUGGGAGAGGGAUGCGGAAUUCCAGGUGUAGCGGUGAAAUGCGUAGAUAUCUGGAGGAACACCAAUAGCGAAGGCAGCUCGCUGGGACGGUACUGACACUAAGGCGCGAAAGCGUGGGGAGCGAACAGG